UGAUAAGGGCUGUUAGGGGUACUUGGAAUUUCGUCUGGCAUCCGGCAACGCUGGCACAGGACGUGCCAGCGAGGCGCAUCUGAACAUGGAUGUGAAUUUGCGCCGGUUGCCAGAGCGAACGAAAUGUAAAUCGAAAUUCCCAGUGCCCCUUGCAGGCUUUAUGU
rfam:Roseburia sp. CAG:45 genomic scaffold, scf80